AGGACUCCAUUCGGGAUGCACACUUUUUAGCAUCCCUGCAAUUCCAGCAGCAUGAGGUGCAGCCAUGGAUGUGCCUGAUUUAAGCUCGUAAUCAGUGGUUAAUUGUAUGUUCUGAAUACUGUCUGAUAUGAGAUUAGGUGGAAAUGCUGCAAGAAUCAGUACCCCUGGCGCCAUAAUAUCUGGCUUUGCAAUUCCCAAAUAGCUUUUGGAGGGCCCUCGUGCUGAGUUUCCUGCAACAACUGGGGCUGGGCUUCCAUCCACAUACGUUUCUUGGAACGUGAUUGUAGCCGUUGGAGAAACACUGUUUUUAACGUAAUUGAUGAUUUGUUUCCCUUCCUUUUUGUCAACCACAACUCCCGGGUAGGGAAAUGAAGAAGACCUGAAAACUCCUGGAUCCUCAGAAAUAAAAAUGCCUGCUUUAAGCCUUGCUCCGAUGACGUGAGAAAUUUGACUAGAGAAACCCCAACCCGCUUCAUCUGCAUUGUAAUCACAGAUGAUGAUGGUGCGUUCGGGAUCAGGAACUUGUGAUAACAAUUCAUCUGAAUCGCAAGCGGCUAGAGUCUUGUUGUAAAUCACUGGAGAAUCCCUGACAAAGGCUCUUGCAGGAAAUAAGCUCCACCCCUUAAUUUUUAACCCAUUGCCUAAAGUCAAAGUUCCUGCAAAUCUCCUGUCAGUGUGGCCUGAUGCGACACACAAGAUCCAUGGAGAUCCAUUUUCUACAGAUGAACCGCUACCUUCAUUUCCAGCUGAAGCUGAGACCAAUACUCCCUUCAUCAUAGCACCGAAAGAAGCAAUUGAUAUAGCAUCUUCAUACAAGGGAAUGAAACGGUACCCAAAAGAAAUGGAUAUCAUGUCAACGCCAUCCGCAACAGCUUGGUCCAUAGCAGCAAUUAAAUCUGAUGAUAGUGUUCCUUCAUCAAAGCUAAACUUGUACACCGCUAUCCUAGCUCGUGGAGCAACCCCUCUUGCUGUCCCUGGUGCAUAUCCAAAAUGGGAAGCACCUUUCGCAAAGUUCCCAGCAGCAAUGGAAGCGCAAUGUGUGCCGUGACCAUCAAUAUCCCUGGCAGAAUUCAUGGAGAUUUUCACAGUAGGAUUAUUCGCCAAAAUUCCCUUAUUGAAGUAAUUAGCCCCAAUGAGUUUUCUGUUGCACAUUGAAGUAUUAAACUGAGUGCCUGGCUUGCAAAUACCUUUCCACCUUUUGGGUAUUUCAGGCAUACCAUCAUCUCUGAAACUCGCGGAUUCUGGCCAGAUUCCACCGUCAAGAACACCAAUGAUCACAUCUUGUCCUAAACCAGAAGCUUGCCAUAACCCCGAUGAAGGAGUGAGCUUGAGGAAAUCAGAUGUGUGGGUAGUAUGAGGUUCCACAGUUCUGUCUUUGUAUGCUGAAAUAAAACCUGGUGACUUCCUCAAAGCUGCCAGUUCAUCUUUGGACAAAACAGCACUGAAGCCAUGAAACACAUUGUCAUAGGAAUAAACAAGUUUUGGAGCAGAGUGGAAUCUGUCUACUGAUGAAGGAACAACAGCUUUGAUGGAAUCAAGAGUGGAAGAAUGCCAAUGAUGGUGAUGAGCAAAGACAUUAGGCAUAAAGGACUUGUCAAGAUGGACAAUGUAAGUGGAUCUUUGUGCUAAAGCUAAAAAGAGAUGAGCCAAAAAAGCCCAUGGAAGCAAGAGUAGAUGUAAAGAAUAAGGAAACCAAAUAUUUCUUGAUCCCAUGUUCACUCACUACACUACACUUGUUAAGACACCAAAUAUUCAUUUGACUUUAUAGGAUUAAACAUAGAAGCAUAUGAGGUCCCUUUAGCAAUCAAUUCUGUUAGGUGGAUACUGAAAUGAGCUAAGAGGUAUUAAUGCAGUAAAUAUAGGCGGCUUGUGUAAACCAAUCAAAAACUUGAGAGGACCUUAGAUGUCAAUCUUGACUCUUGUUAUCCAUUUAAUUCGAUGUUAUUUCUUUAUACUGUAAUAUGAUUUUUUUAUGAAUUUCUUAAGGCAAUAAUCUUUCACCCUUUCUUCUUGAUCAUAUACCCCUUUGUGGAACUAGUAGUAAACAUUGGUGAAAAAUUAAACAAGUAGAUAUGUGUCAUUCUUUUAAAAAUAAAAUCGAACAAAUAGACAGGUAUUUUAUUUUCCUUUUCAACUAGGGGAUAAACCGCCAUAGAGUCCUUUUCAUUUUUUUGUGGUCCUAGGCUUAAUGAAUGACUCAACAUCAAUAAUGUAGUGGGACGUAACAGUGGGAUGCGGCAAAUCACUCAGCUUCUAAUAAAUGUUUUGAUAUAAACGUAAAUAAGAACAGCCGCCUCAGUCUAUCUUGGCAGAGUGUGGAUAAUUUUUAUCACCAUUUUAUCCACAAUCACAUCAUUACUAAUCAUCUUUGUCAUAAUCAUCAUUAUCACUAUGGUUAAUUAUAUAUAAUUACGUCGCUAACCACCAACCGCCAUCACUAACCACUUCUACCGCUACAGGCCAUCACUACCGCAAGUCACCUCCACCUCCACCAAAUUGUCCACCAUAGGACCUUUCUUCUACCACUAUUAAUCACAUUACCAUCACUGUGGUCAAUCUCUACUAUCAACUAUUUUCAUCAUCACAAUUAGUACGGUUGCUAACUGACAACAACAUAUCGUCAACUCAGUGGCGGACCUAUAUUGUGAAGCACCCACCACCUUUUGUAACAACAUUAUUAUUUAUGUACAAAAUUUAGUAAUUCAUUGAAAUAUAUUAAUUGAGCACCCCUUAUAUGUAGCAAUUUUCGAGCUAAAAAUAGUUGAGAACCCAUGAUAUAAAAUUUCUGGAUCCGCCAGUGCGUCAACUACCACACAUUCUCCAGUUACCAUCACGUUAGUCACUACAACAUCAGUCACCUUCUCCAUCACAACUAUCACCACUAUUGUUACUAACCACUAACAUAAAUCAUUACUAUUUACGUCUUAACUAUUUAGUAUCCAGAUCUUAAUGCAAUAUCUUAAUAUUCAGAUGUGUAUUUAGAUUCAAACCUCUAAAUCUUAAUGCACAUCUUAAUAUUCAGACGUGUGAUUUGAAUUCAAACAUUUUAAGCUUAACGAAAACAAAUAAGACCUAAAUAUUUUUGUAUUUUCUUCUAAAAGACAGCAAUCAAUUGUAAGUUGUAACAGAGCAGAGACAAAAAAGGGAAACCCUCCCCAAAAUCCCAAACAGCAUGCUGACAAGUUCUUUGCAGCGACUUCUCCUCACAAAUGGGUAAAAUCUUCUCACUUUUCUUUCUUAAACGUUCUUCACUAUUCUUUCUUAACAUGUUUUUUUUGUGUAUCAACAUUGUCGAUUUGGAUUGAUCAUACUUUAGGGAUAAAAGAAAUAGGCAAUGCCUUUUUGAUUGGACAAAAACUUUUAAUUCAGUAUUUAUGCAUAUAUAAUAUCCCUCUUAAUUCAAGAAUCUGGUCAUCACUAGCUACCCCAGACCUCAACAGUGGUAGAUGUAACUAUAAGACUCCUAACUGCGUGGUUGCCAUUUUCUUCAACCCAAAUGACUGACCACCUGGCUUGCCACAUCAUUACAAAUUUGGGUUGUUAACUCUUGAAGGUAUUUGUGAUCUCUUGGGAUACCGAUGAAGCAGUUUUGAUCCCAAAAUGUUACGGAGGGUAUAACUUAUAAGUGAUUUAUUUCGCAUAGUUCAGGGGUAAUUUUGACCCUUUUCCAUUUUUUUUUAGUUUCUUGUACUGAUUAACAUAACAUGGCUUUGCUUCCAACUCUAUAAGUGAGUAUAUUUGAACUUUUCACCAGUCAAAUCAAUAACAGGGCUGAGUUUUGAUGUGUUGAACAAGAAAAAAGACAAUCCUAAUAAAAUUUCAGGUGCAAGUAACGUAUGGAUAAUUAAUGUUUUAGUAAGCUUAUUUAUAUUUUAGAUAGUAUAACAGAGCAAAUGAUGAUAUAGCAACUAACAUAGCAAUGAUACUAGGAAAUAUGGUCCAAACGAAAAAUGCUAAAUUCGAAUGAACUAGUUGAAAAGCUGCUUCCGCCACUAUCAGCAAAGGCUGGUAGACCCUCAUCUUCUUAUUUUAUCGUUGUUCAUUUAUGCUAACCAAAAAUAUUUUAGUCUUUCUGCAAAUCAUACUCACUCAAACUUUCCUAACCUAGAUUGUUAGCUUCUUGGUUCUCUCCUUUUUUUGUGUGUGAAUAAUCAGAUUGUCGAUGAACCACCUUACUAAGUUGAAAAUUGCUUGUCAUUUUGUGGUAAUUCAUCAACCUAGGUUUAGUGCACUUGUAAUGUCUUAUCAGCUGUAUAUCUCCCAUGAAUCCAAUAUGUUGGCCUUCAUUGAGAUGACAACAUAAAUGCCUUCAAACGAGCAGCUUUGCUCUUUUCGAUAAGUUUUUUUCUUUAUUAUACUCCUACAAAUUGAAGUGUUCAUAUUAUAAAAGUUACUUCAAAGAUUUAGAAAGACAAGAAGUUUAUAUUUUAAAAUACAUCUCCUUUUAAAUGUGUAACUUAUAUUAUAUGGAGAAUGACUUGUUCCUUUCUAUUCAUCAAAACAAGAUACUUAUACAAAUACUAUGCUUAGGAAAACUAAUCAAAGUAAAUCAACUAAGAAUCUGCUCCUAUAAUUAAAUUAGCUAUAUAUGGAAGAUAUAAUAUUUACACCUAUUAUAUUCUAUAACAUUAAAGAAAUGCGAUAACAACUCAACUUACUCAUAUAAUAAAUUAAUAUAAUACUGUGGGAGAUUCUCUAACCGACAACCACCAUUAUGAGCCUAAGUNNNNNNNNNNNNNNNNNNNNNNNNNNNNNNNNNNNNNNNNNNNNNNNNNNNNNNNNNNNNNNNNNNNNNNNNNNNNNNNNNNNNNNNNNNNNNNNNNNNNNNNNNNNNNNNNNNNNNNNNNNNNNNNNNNNNNNNNNNNNNNNNNNNNNNNNNNNNNNNNNNNNNNNNNNNNNNNNNNNNNNNNNNNNNNNNNNNNNNNNNNNNNNNNNNNNNNNNNNNNNNNNNNNNNNNNNNNNNNNNNNNNNNNNNNNNNNNNNNNNNNUGGUUUUACAUCCAGCCCAAUCAGCAUCAGCAAAGCACUCAAUGUGAGUAUGUCCGUGGUUACCAUAUAAAAUGCCAAGUCCAGGGGAUCUUUUCAAGUAGCAUAAGAUCUGUUCCAAGGCUUCCCAAUGUUUGACUGUAGGUGCAGACAUGAAUUGACUAACAACACUCACUGCAAAAGCAAUAUCUGGACGUGUUACAGUGAGAUAGUUUAGUUUCCCUACUAACCUCCUAUAUCUCUCUGGAUCAUCAAAGGGGCUGCCAUCAUCACGGGUCAGAUGCACAUUAGGGACCAUUGGAGUACUACAAGGUUUGGCUGCGGACUUUCCAGUUUCCACAAGUAGGUCAAGGAUAUACUUUCUCUGAGAUAGAAAGAUUCCCUUCUUGCUUCUAGUUACUUCUACUCCCAAAAAAUAUUUUAGUUGUCCCAAAUCUUUUGUGUGGAAUUUAGUAUGCAAGAAUGACUUGAGUGAAGAGAUCCCCGAAUAAUCACUUCCUGUAAUAACAAUGUCAUCAACAUAUACCACAAGAAGAAUAAUGCCAAUUGUUGAUUGUUUAUAAAAGACUGAGUGAUCACACAUGCUCUUUUUCAGCCCAAAUUCCUGAACUACUUCACUGAAUUUGCCAAACCAAGCACGAGGGCUUUGUUUCAAACCAUACAAGGAUUUCUUUAGGUGACAAACUUUACCAUACUCCCCCUGAGCAACAAAUCCAGGUGGUUGCUCCAUAUACACUUCUUCUUGGAGAUCACCAUGAAGAAAUGCAUUCUUGAUAUCUAGCUGGUGCAACGGCCAAUUCUUAGAUGCAGCUAAGGAAAUAAAUAAGCGAACAGAAGUGAGUUUAGCCACCGGAGAAAAUGUGUCUGAAUAAUCCACCCCAUAAGUCUGAGCAUAUCCUUUAGCCACUAGUCAAGCCUUAAGUCUAGCCACAGAGCCAUCGGAUUAACUUUGACCGCAAAGACCCAUUUGCAUCCCACUGCCUUCUUUCCUUUUGGUAAAUCCACCAAGUCCCAAGUGUGAUUCUCAUCUAGUGCAUGUAUCUCCUCAAGCAUUGCAUUAUACCAUCCAGUGUGACUCAAGGCUUCCUUAACUGUCUUAGGAACAACGAUAGAGUCUAGAGAAACAAUCAAAGAUCUAGACAUAGAGGAUAAAUGACCAUAGGAAACAAAAUUAGCAAUGGAGUAUGGAGAUUUGCAACUACGUGUACCUUUGCGAAUAGCAAUAGGGAGAUCAAGAUCUUCUGGAAGAUCAGACGAAUGAGGAUCUGAUGACAAAGGGACUGGUGCAGAACAUGUAUCAAUGGCCUCUCGCCUCCUCGAGUAAACUUGUACAACCGGAGGUCUUACUACCGUAGAUGGUGCAGGAGCUGAUGGUACAGUAUCCGAUUGAUCCUCAAUAGAUGAUCUGAGAGAUGGAGGGACAAUAUUUGAUUCUUCUGUCAAAACACGGGUGACCUCAUAGACUAACCACUCAUCCUGUGGAAUUCUUAGGAGUUUCAAUCUUCACAUUAUAAGUUGUUCCACCUCUACCAACAUUUGUAAGGGUCCUCCUGAAUUUCUGCUCCAACCAGGUGAAGUUCCCCUCCAGGCUAUAUGGGUUCAAUGCAAUGAAUGAUGGAUAGUUGAGAUCAGCUGAUGGAUUUGAGCAGUUAUCGUAAUUGGCUGAUGAUCUUGCAAAUGUUUUGAAUUGCUCUUCUGUGAAAUUCAUAGAGCAUAUAAGAUUUAUGUAAUCUUGUGGAGUGGCAUCAUAUACAAGCCUGGGAUCAAGAGCUCUGUUUGGGUCAACAUGCCCUGCACCCAUAUCUAGGGGUGUGGUAGCAAGAACAGUGGAUGGCAUACGAUUAAUCAGAAGACAAGUCGUAGAGACUGCAUCUGCCCAAAACUGUUUAGGAACCUCAAGCCUGGGAUCAAGAGCUCUGUUUGGGUCAACAUGCCCUGCACCCAUAUCUAGGGGUGUGGCUACCCAAUUAUUAUCGUCUUUAAUAGGUUUUUUAGUACUAUCCAAAUGGUUUGCUGUGGUCAUCAUGGCGGAGCGAAUUGCAGAAGGACUCCAUUCAGGAUGUGCACCUUUUAGCAUUGCUGCAAUUCCAGCUACAUGAGGGGCAGCCAUGGAUGUGCCUGAUUUAAGUUCGUAAUCACUGGAUAGUUCUAAGUUCGUCUGAAUACUUUGUGAAAAGAGAUUAGGUGGAAAUGCUGCAAGAAUCAGUACCCCUGGUGCCAUAAUAUCUGGCUUUGCGAUUCCCAAGUAGCUUCUGGAGGGCCCUCGUGCUGAGCUUCCAGCAAGAACUGGGGCAGGCCUACCAUCCACAUAAGUUUCUUGGAACGUGAUUGUAGCCGUUGGAGAAACACUGUUUUUUACGUAAUUGAUGAUUUGUUUCCCUUCCUUUUUGUCAACCACAACGCCUGGGUAGGGAAAUGAAGAAGACCUGAAAACUCCUGGAUCCUCAGAAAUAAAGAUGCCUGCUUUGAGUCUUGCUCCAAUGACAUGAGAAAUUUGACUAGAGAAACCCCAACCCUCUUCAUCUGCAUUGUAAUCACAGAUGAUGAUGGUGCGUUCGGGAUCAGAAACUUGUGAUAACAAUUCAACUGAAUCACAAGCGGCCAGAGUCUUGUUGUAAAUCACCGGAGAAUCCCUGACAAAGGCUCUUGCAGGAAAUAAGCUCCAUCCCCUAAUUCUCAACCCAUUUCCCAAAGUCAAAGUUCCUGAAAAUCUUCUGUCAGUGUGGCCUGCUGCCACACACAAGAUCCAUUGCUUAAACUUCCCACGCUUGGACCUUGAUUUCCAGCUGAUGUUGAAACUAGCACUCCCUUCAUCAUAGCUCCAAAAGAAGCGAUUGAUAUAGCAUCUUCAUAUAACGGAAUGAAACGGUAACCAAAAGAAAUGGAUAUCAUGUCAACACCGUCUGCAACAGAUUGGUCCAUAGCAGCAAUUAAAUCUGAUGUAAAAGUUCCUUCAUUGAAGCUAGACUUGUACACAGCUAUCCUAGCUCGUGGAGCAGUCCCUCUUGCUGUUCCUGGUGCAUAUCCAAAAUGGGAAAUACCUUUCGCAAAGUUCCCAGCAGCAAUGGAAGCGCAAUGUGUGCCGUGACCAUCAGUAUCCCUGGCAGAAUUCAUGGAAAUGUUCACAGUGGGAUCAUUCGCCAAAAUACCCUUUGGGGAUUUCUGGCAAACCAUCAUCUUGGAAACUCAUGGAUUCGGGUCAGAUUCCACCGUCAAGAACAGCCACGAUCACAUCUUGGCCUAAACCAGAAGCUGGCCAUAGCCCAGAUGAAGGAUUGAGCUUGAGGAAAUCAGAAGUGUAAGUAGUGUGAGGUUCCACAGUUCUGUCUUUGUAUGCUGAAAUGAAACCUGGUGACUUUUUCAAAGCUUUCAGUUCAUCUUUGGACAAAACAGCACUGAAUCCAUGAAACACAUUGUCAUAGGAAUAAACAAGUUUUGGAGCAGAGUGGAAUCUGCCUACUGAUGAAGGAAUUACAGAGGCUUUGAUGGAAUCAAUAGUGGAAGAAUGCCAAUGAUGGUGAUCAGCAAAUACAUUAGGCAUUAAGGACUUGUCAAGGUGGACAAUGUAAGUGGAUCUUUGUGCUAUAGCUAAGAAGAGAUGAGCAGAAAGGAACCAUGAAAGCAAGAUCAGAUAUGGAGAACAUGGAAACCAAAUAUUUCUAGAUUCCAUGUUCAUCACUUACUACACACUAGUGUUCUUAAGACACCAAAUAUUCAUUCAAUGCAAACUUGAGAAGCAGGAAUACACCUUUGACGAUUUGGAUUGAUCAAAGUUGUCAGGGGUAAAAAAAAUCGGCAAUGUUGGGAAUUUUUUUGGCACAAAGUAGCUCCUACUACAUACAUUAUUUAUUCCCAUAUCUUUUUGAUAGGAAAAAUACUUUUCAUUCAGUAUUUAUACAUAAUUCCCCUUAGUCUUGUAUAGUGUACUUGCAGCUCAAGAAUCUGAUGGCCUUAGUCUUCGUUACCCCAGACCUCGAUUAUGGGAGACGUUACUAUAGGACUCCUAACAGAGUGGUUACCCUUCUCUUCAACCCAAGUGAUCGACCCAAAGUUCGUACUCUGAUCACUAUCACCUAUAUAUCGAAUUGUCAAACUAUAACUUUGCUUAUCAUUUUUCCCCUUGAACACCAGAGUUCGUGGAGACACUGAAACUGUGGAAUUCUUAGGAGUUUCAAUCUUCACAUUAUAAGUUGUUCCACCUCUACCAACAUUUGUAAGGGUCCUCCUGAAUUUCUGCUCCAACCAGGUGAAGUUCCCCUCCAGGCUAUAUGGGUUCAAUGCAAUGAAUGAUGGAUAGUUGAGAUCAGCUGAUGGAUUUGAGCAGUUAUCGUAAUUGGCUGAUGAUCUUGCAAAUGUUUUGAAUUGCUCUUCUGUGAAAUUCAUAGAGCAUAUAAGAUUUAUGUAAUCUUGUGGAGUGGCAUCAUAUACAAGCCUGGGAUCAAGAGCUCUGUUUGGGUCAACAUGCCCUGCACCCAUAUCUAGGGGUGUGGCUACCCAAUUAUUAUCGUCUUUAAUAGGUUUUUUAGUACUAUCCAAAUGGUUUGCUGUGGUCAUCAUGGCGGAGCGAAUUGCAGAAGGACUCCAUUCAGGAUGUGCACCUUUUAGCAUUGCUGCAAUUCCAGCUACAUGAGGGGCAGCCAUGGAUGUGCCUGAUUUAAGUUCGUAAUCACUGGAUAGUUCUAAGUUCGUCUGAAUACUUUGUGAAAAGAGAUUAGGUGGAAAUGCUGCAAGAAUCAGUACCCCUGGUGCCAUAAUAUCUGGCUUUGCGAUUCCCAAGUAGCUUCUGGAGGGCCCUCGUGCUGAGCUUCCAGCAAGAACUGGGGCAGGCCUACCAUCCACAUAAGUUUCUUGGAACGUGAUUGUAGCCGUUGGAGAAACACUGUUUUUUACGUAAUUGAUGAUUUGUUUCCCUUCCUUUUUGUCAACCACAACGCCUGGGUAGGGAAAUGAAGAAGA
rnacentral:lncRNA from 1 species